UGAGGAAGGUUCUCGAGAUAUAGAAGGCCCUCAGACGGAGUAGACGAGGAAGCGGGAUGGACGCACGGUACUGUCCGGUGUCCGGGAGUACAGAGCAUACUAGAUUUAUCGCGAGAUAUUUUUGUUUCUUUAUCAUUCGGGUGGGGAAUGUUGAGGAGUUAUUGUUCUUAUUGGAAAGCAUUUGUUGAUACAGUCUUGUCUAUUGGUUAUGAUAGUUUCUAUGAUGGUACUACAGUAUGCCCAUUCAAAUAGUAGUUGAUGAAAAAAAAAACUUGGAAUGUUUCAGUUGGUAUCAGAGCCACACUCCUAAGGGACAGCAUGCGCCAACCAUCUCGUCAGGAACUCGGCUACUUCUGCCUUCAAGUCUGUACCAGGUUAUUUAUGGUGUCGCUUGGAGCAUCCUGUCUGCUGGUCCCCACGUCACAUCAGAAGACUUAUCGGUCUCACGUGAGGAAGGUUCUCGAGAUAUGGAAGGUCCUCAGACGGAGUAGACGAGGAGGCGGGAUGAACGCAUGGUACUGUCCGGUGUCCGGGAGUGCAAAGCGUACUGGAUUUACCGCGAGAGAUUUUUGUUUCUUUAUCAUUUAGGUGGGGAAUGUUGAGGAGUUAUUGCUUUUAUUGGAAAAUAUUUGUUGAUACAGUCUUGUCUAUUGGUUAUGAUAGUUUCUAUGAUGGUACUACAGUAUGCUCAUUCAAAUAGUAGUUGAUGAAAAAAAAACACUUGGGAUGUUUCAUAGGAAGUUCAAGAUUUCUUAAUUAUUUUUCUUAAA